rnacentral:rRNA from 1 species
AGAGUUUGAUCCUGGCUCAGGACGAACGCUGGCGGCGUGCCUAAUACAUGCAAGUCGAGCGGAUCUUCAUUAGCUUGCUUUUGAAGAUCAGCGGCGGACGGGUGAGUAACACGUGGGCAACCUGCCUGUAAGACUGGGAUAACUUCGGGAAACCGGAGCUAAUACCGGAUAAUCCUUUCCCUCUCAUGAGGGAAAGCUGAAAGACGGUUUCSGCUGUCACUUACAGAUGGGCCCGCGGCGCAUUAGCUAGUUGGUGAGGUAACGGCUCACCAAGGCGACGAUGCGUAGCCGACCUGAGAGGGUGAUCGGCCACACUGGGACUGAGACACGGCCCAGACUCCUACGGGAGGCAGCAGUAGGGAAACUUCCGCAAUGGACGAAAGUCUGACGGAGCAACGCCGCGUGAGCGAUGAAGGCCUUCGGGUCGUAAAGCUCUGUUGUCAGGGAAGAACAAGUAUCGGAGUAACUGCCGGUACCUUGACGGUACCUGACCAGAAAGCCACGGCUAACUACGUGCCAGCAGCCGCGGUAAUAC